rnacentral:rRNA from 1 species
ACGCUCGACACCUACGGGAGGCAGCAGUGGGGAAUAUUGGGCAAUGGGCGCAAGCCUGACCCAGCAACGCCGCGUGAAGGAAGAAGGCCCUCGGGUUGUAAACUUCUUUUGACAGGGACGAAGAAAAUGACGGUACCUGUCGAAUAAGCCACGGCUAACUACGUGCAAGCAGCCGCGGUAAUCUGAGCGGGCUGGCAAGGC